CUUCGGACGCCGUGCAAGUGCUAGCGGCGAACCCCGCCAGGGCCGGAAGGCAGCAACGGUAGUCGUGACGCGCUGUGCCGCGGUCACUCCGGAGCCU
rnacentral:SRP_RNA from 1 species